CUCUUCUCCUCCUCUCCUCUCCCUCCUGUCUCCGUUUCUCCGCCGCCCCCCAUCCCCCAAGCGGCCAAGCCACGGUCGCACCGCACGGCACAUGCCACACGCCGGCACACCACCGCGUAGGCGCGCACAGCCGCAGCACCAGCCGCCAGCCGGUCUCGGUCGCGCCGAUGGAGUAGGGGCGCCGCCGUGCGGGCAGCCGCCAGCGUGGAGGCGGACAUCCACCGCGUCGGUCGCCGCCUGGGGCAGGGUCCAGGGAGCCAGGGACGCCGCCUCCUGGGGGCGGGAUAGCCACCGCGUCGGUCGCCGCUUAGGGGCAGGGACGCCGCGCGCCGGUCAGCUGUCGGCAGGAGCGCCGCCGCAGGUGCAGUGAGGAGAGGGGGUCUCGGUGACUAAAACUCGACACCCAUGGAGGCACGUUAUCUUCUGCCGGCAGUGCUUAUCGGUAACAGCAAGGACGGCGAAGUAAGUCAACGGGACAACAGAUUAAGGCCCCCGUUAAUUCAAAGGAAAUUCAUAGGAUUUCAAGAACUAAGGGUGCCAACUGAAACUUCAAAUACUAAAUCACUGUCAAUACUUAGACCUUUUCGAAAUACCUAAACUAAUUAAUUAUGAACCUUCGAACCUGCAAACAUGGUCAUCCAGUACUGGAGUACCCAGUGUCAUUUUGAGUGUGCCACCUUGGAUUUGCUGCUCGCAGUUAUCAACAAAAGUAUUUAUCUUAAGCUCAUUAUGAAAUUAUGUCUUUGUUAUUGGCCUACUGCUUGCAUGAUUUCCUUCAUGACUUCCUUACCACUAGUUGUAAUUGAGAUAUUUAUCACACCUUAUUUGACUGAAGUGUUGAUUGUACCUCUCUCUCUCUCCCUACUUGACACACUGUGUAUAUAUACCAGUACAUCCUUUACUCAUAUUUGCAGUGAAUAUGUGAUUUGAGAUUUUGGAGGAAACCAAAACAAGAAGAUGGUGUGAAGUACCAUAGUUUAUUAUGUUUCAUUUUACCUUAAUUCAUUUAAAAAAUAACAUUUUUAUUUUGGUACCACGUCUCGUGUUGGAGGUUGUACUAAGUAUGCCUGGUGUGGUUGUACUAAGUGGUUGCAUUGGUUGUAUUCUUAUCAAAAGUAUAUUGUAUGAGAAUUUUAUUGUGCUCCCCCUUAAUACUAUAUUGUGUUAUCCAUUUAUUCAAUACUA